rnacentral:rRNA from 1 species
GCUGAACGCUGGCGGCGUGGCUAAGACAUGCAAGUCGCACGAAUGCAGCAAUGCAUUAGUGGCGAACGGGUGAGUAAUGAAUCGCUAACGUGCCCCGGACUCUGGGAUAGCCAUCCGAAAGGGUGGGUAAUACCGGAUGACAUAUCCCGCUCGCAGGAGCGGGAUCUCAAAGGUCCGCCGGUCUGGGAGCGGGCGAUUUCGUAUCAGCUAGUUGGGGGGUAACGGCCCACCAAGGCGACGACGCGUAGCCGGACUGAGAGGUUGGCCGGCCACAUUGGGACUGAGACACUGCCCAGACUCCUACGGGGGGCUGCAGUAACGAAUCUUCCGCAAUGCCCGCAAGGGUGACGGAGCG